rnacentral:rRNA from 1 species
AUGGCGUGCGUUUCAGUACCGGCGGCCACGGCGGAGAUGGAGCGCGCCUUCUCUCAUCUCCGGCCUGGCUUCCGCUUCCACCCCACGGAUCAGGAGCUCGUCGGCUUCUUCCUCCGGCGCAAGGUCCUCCUGGGACACGGCGGCUUCAUCCCCGAGGUGGACCUCUACAAGUUCGAGCCCCACCACCUACCAGCCAUUUCAUUCUCACCGAGCACAAGCGACCCCGGGGCCAAAGUUGAGUGGUACUUUUUCGCUCCGAGGGGACGAAAGUACCCAACCGGGUUUCGCAUGGUGCGGGCGACGGUGAAAGGGUUCUGGAAGUCGACCGGGAAGGACCGCCCCGUCAUGCACAACGGCAUCGUUGUUGGCAUGAAGAAGACGCUGGUGUUCCACAUGGGCCAAGCACCUGGCGGCACGCGGACCGACUGGGUCAUGCACGAGUACCGUCUUCACGGCCACCGCAACAACCACAUCGAGGACACAUACGCAUUGUGUCGGGUCUUCAACAAGAACAUGGCGUCCCCGUCGAUGAAUGCGUCCGGUGAUGCCGACACAGAUGAGGAUCUAAUGCAGUUCAUGCCCAGUGUCAUCGACAUAGGCAAGGAUCUAAUGGAGUAUGUGUCUGAUGGCACCGGCUUGCACAAGGAUCCUAAGCAUUUCGUGCUUGGCAAUGUCAGUACGGACAAGGAUAUGAUGGAGUACGGGUCCUGCAGCACCGACUCGAACAAGGAUCUGAACAAGUUCAUGCUUGACAGCGUCGACUCGGUCCAGGAUCUCAUGCAGUCUAUGCUCGAUGGAAUCGGGACCGACAAGGAUCCCAUACAGGUCCAGGUUGAGUCUGAUGGUGCCGACGCGGAGAAUGAUUUUAUGCAAUCUGUCUUCGGUGGCGUUGGCGCAGACAUGGAUCUCAUACAUGUCGAGUCCGAGUCCGAUGUUGCCAACGCGAACAAGGAUCUGAUGCAGUACACCCUUGGUGGCGGCGGCACAAACAAGAAUCACAUACAUGUCGAGUUCGUGUCCGAUGAAGCUGACACGGACAAGGAUGUGAUGCAGUUCGCGUUCGGUGGCAUGGGCACAUACCAGAAUCCCAUACAGAUCGAGUCUGAGGUCGAUGGUGUUGACAUUGAUGAGGGAGAGAAGCAGUUCCUCACCGAUGGCGACGACACGGGCAAUGGAGAGAUGCCAAUUCUUGCUGAUGGGGAUAACUCAUGGUACACCAAAUACCUUGAGGAAGAGGAUAACUCAUGGACGCAGUUCCCUUUCACCGAUGUCUUGUACACUGGCGAUGAUAUGGGAAUGAUUCCUUAA